CACGCCCUAAACGAUGUCAACUAGGUGUUGGGAGGGUUAAACCUUUUAGUGCCGUAGCUAACGCGUGAAGUUGACCGCCUGGGGAGUACGGCCGCAAGGCUAAAACUCAAAGGAAUUGAC
rnacentral:rRNA from 1 species